rnacentral:rRNA from 1 species
GAUGAACGCUGGCGGCGUGCCUAAUACAUGCAAGUCGAGCGAACAGACGAGGAGCUUGCUCCUCUGACGUUAGCGGCGGACGGGUGAGUAACACGUGGAUAACCUACCUAUAAGACUGGGAUAACUUCAGGAAACCGGAGCUAAUACCGGAUAACAUGUUGAACCGCAUGGUUCAACAGUGAAAGACGGUCUUGCUGUCACUUAUAGAUGGAUCCGCGCCGCAUUAGCUAGUUGAUAAGGUAACGGCUUACCAAGGCAACGAUGCGUAGCCGACCUGAGAGGGUGAUCGGCCACACUGGAACUGAGACACGGUCCAGACUCCUACGGGAGGCAGCAGUAGGGAAUCUUCCGCAAUGGGCGAAAGCCUGACGGAGCAACGCCGCGUGAGUGAAGAAGGUCUUCGGAUCGUAAAACUCUGUUAUUAGGGAAGAACAAAUGUGUAAGUAACUAUGCACGUCUUGACGGUACCUAAUCAGAAAGCCACGGCUAACUACGUG